AAUGAUAGCAUCAAACGGGAAAGGAAAAACUUGGUGGAAACACAAAGACCAGGAAAAAGGUAGCAACGACAAGACAAUUUCAGGGAGUUGGCAUAAGAUCAGGAAUUCCCAGAUACCUACUGCUGGAUCCGCUGGGCAACAAAAGGGCCUAAUGGCAAGCGACGUAGAGGAGAAAAGACAAAGCGAUUCCCAAAUGGCAAAAUGCGGAGCAGCUAAACCGUGAAAACAGGGUUGUGGGAGAGCAUCAUGCGUCGUGCUGCUAGGCAAAGUGGGAAUGAAUACCACCCUAGAUGGCAGAAGUCCGAAAGCAUCCCCUUUUUUUUUGGCUUACCCUCUGACCCGAAGUAGCACCGGGCGUGGAAUCCGUGUGAAUCAUCAAGGACCCUGCCACAAACUUCAUCUCUAGGCCCAACCAUGCCAAAAAAUACCGUGAAGAAAAAUGAAAAAGAACAUCAAGUAAAAUAGAACAUAAACCGUGAGCUUUCCCAAGCAGUGGAGAGGAGAAUGUGUUUCUGGCCGCAUGCCUGUUGAAGAAAAUGAGCCGGCGACUCAUGGGCUGGUUGAGGGGAACCCACCCGGGUUCAAAAGCAGAUGUCAUGAGGAGCGGUGUCUAGACUGGGUUUGAACCUGGUGAUCUAUCCAUGAUGAGGAUGAAGCUUGGGUAAGAAACUAAGUGGAGUCGAACCGACUGAUGUUGAAAAGAAUCAGCGGAUGAGUUGGCUGGUUCUCCCCGAAAUGCGUUGAGGCGCAGCAGUUGACUGGACAUCUGGGGUAAAAAGCACUGUUUCGGUGCGGGCCGCGAGGCAGUACCAAAUCGAGGCAAAACUCUGAAUACUGAUAUGACCCCCAAAUAAGAGGAUCAAGGUCGGCCAGUGAAGACGAUGGGGAUAAGCUUCAUCGUCGAGAGGAAACAGCCGGAUCACCAGCUAAAACCCCUAAAUGACCGCUCAGUGAUAAAAGGAGGUAGGGGUGCAGAGACAGCCAGGAGGUUUGCCUAAAGCAGCCACCCUUGAAAAAGUGCGUAAUAGCUCCACUGAUCAAACGCUCUUGCCGAAAGAUGAACAGGGCUAAACGAUCUGCCAGAAAGCUGUGGGAUGUAAAAUGCAUCGGUGGGGGCGUUCCACCAUAGCCGAAACACCCGCGCAAGCAAAUUAAUGGACAAGCGGAAAGGAGAUGUCAAACUUAGUAACGCAAACAUUGGUGAAAUCAAUGCCCCGAAAAAAGGUUCCUCCGCAGGUUCGUCCACAGAGAGGUGAGUCAGGGCCUAAGAUCAGGCCGAAAGGCGUAUCGAUGGACAACAGGUGAAUAUUCCUGUACUACCUUGUUGGUCCCGAGGGACGGAGGAGGCUAGGUUAGCCGAAGGAUGGUUAUCAGUUCAAGGACGCAAAGGUGACCUUUUUUCAGGGGUAAGAAAGGUAGAAAAUGCCUCAGGCAAUGUCAAAGUACCAGGCGCUACGGCACAGUAACCCGUACCAUACUCCCAGGAAAGAAAGCUCAGACGACGACCUUCAAAAGGGUACCUGUGUGCGGGCACGGGUGGGUGGGUGGGGGAAUACCUGGGGCGCGGGACAGCUCUCUCUAAGGAACUCAGCAAAAAUAGCCCCCACAUGGGAGAAGAGGUGCCUCCUCCUACCAAAGGGGUCCAGUGAGCCAGACCCGGGCGUUUAUUCAAAACACAGGUCUCCACCAAGUCAAUAAGACUGCAUGGCAGGGCUGACAUGCCCAGUGCCGGAAGGUCAAGGAGGUUGGUGAGCCUGUUGACAGGGAGGGGGGGCAGACCAGAAGCCCCGUGAACGGCGGCCGUAACUAUAAUCCUAAAAGGUGGGAAACCCUGUCGGGUGGUUCAACCCACACAGCAUGGCACAAUCCCAACACUGCUCUCAGGAAACUCAGUGAAAUAGACAUAUCUCUAAAGAUACCGGACUACACCUGGACAAAACCCUAUAAACUUUUAUUCCCUAGGAUUGGCUUUGGGCCUUUCCUGCGCACCUUUCAGGUAAACAAAAAAGGCCUCCUUCCUGGGGGCCCAGCCAUCAGUGAAUACCGCUCUGGAAGAGCUAGAAUUCUAACCUUGUGUCCGGACCUGGGGAGCCAGGGGACAGUAGGAGGGUUUCUACGGUUCAUGGGCAUGAAACCCCAAAAUAACAGGAAGCAUGCAAAAGGUUUCCUCCUCGGAGGGACGGGGGGCCCUCGGGGGGGGUUAAAAGAAAAACUUGACCUGAUCCACCGUCGGGCUUGGACGAAAGUCGGCCUUAGUGAUCAGCGGUGGAUGGAGGAUUAAGAUCUAAAGGUUACUCUGGGAUGGCUGGACAGUCUUUUUGGGUUCCCAUCGGCGGGUUUGGCACCCCUCGAUAUCAGCUCUUCGCCACCUGGGGCUGUAUGUUUCCAAAGGGUUGGGCUGUUCUUACAUUAAAGCUUGCGUGAAACUGGGUUUCAAAACGUCAUGAGACAGUUCAUUCCCUGUCAGUGCAGGCGUUAAAACAUUAAAGAAAGACCUUCCCCUGUUUGAGAGGGACUGGGAAGGACGCACCCCUCUGGUGUACCAGUUAUCGUGCCCACAAUAAACUUGCUUUGGGUAAAUGCAGAGCAGAUGCUGCUGAAAGCAUCUAAGUAAGCCCCACCCCAGAUGAGUGCUCUUAUGUCGAGCUUCCCAGAGCCCCCAGUGCAAAACCAGAUGGCAACAAAAUUCUCUGUCCCUGAGAUGGGCAGGCAGAGUAUUGAAAUCCAGAUAAGGUCCGGCGAGACAAGCCGUUUUCCUGUCAACAGGUGUCGGAGAUUGAUGUAUGCAGCUGAGGCAUCCUAACGGCCGAGAGAUUUGGUU
rnacentral:rRNA from 1 species